AUAGCGUAUAUUAAAGUUGUUGCAGUUAAAAAGCUCGUAGUUGAAAUUCUGAUUGUUCGGGUCUUUAGCCUUUAGGCGGAGAUACCGACAGUCAUCCGCUUGCAAACAUAUGUUUGAUCUUCAUCGGUUGACUAUGUGAGUAAGCAUUUUACCUUGAGAAAAACAGAGUGUUCCAGGCAGGUUUGUCCGGAAUGCAUUAGCAUGGAAUAAUAGAACAUGACUGAAGUCUAUUUAUUGGUUAAAGGCUUUAGUAAUGAUUAAUAGGAACAGUCGGGGGCAUUCGUACUCAGCAGUCAGAGGUGAAAUUCUAAGAUUUGCUGAAGACGAACUAAUG
rnacentral:rRNA from 1 species